rnacentral:rRNA from 1 species
CAGUUUCGAAUCAUUCACAAUGGGCGAAAGCCUGAUGGUGCGACGCCGCGUGAGGGAUGAAGGCCUUCGGGUUGUAAACCUCUGUCACCGGGGAAGAAACGCUUCAAGUUAACAGCUUGAAGCCUGACUUAACCCGGAGAGGAAGCAGUGGCUAACUCUGUGCCAGCAGCCGCGGUAAUACAGAGACUGCAAGCGUUAUUCGGAUUCACUGGGCGUAAAGGGUGCGCAGGCGGCCGUGUGUGUGAGGCGUGAAAGCCUGGAGCUUAACUCCAGAAUUGCACCUCAAACUACAUGGCUAGAGCAUUGGAGAGGGUAGCAGAAUUCAUGGUGUAGCAGUGAAAUGCGUAGAUAUCAUGAGGAAUACCAGAGGCGAAGGCGGCUACCUGGACAAUUGCUGACGCUCAGGCACGAAAGCGUGGGGAGCAAAAGGGAUUAGA